UGCUGCCACCUUGAACGAUGCCCUUUUCGCUUGAUCUUCCAGAUUUAUUCCCCUUUUCAUGUAUGUAAUUUUCCAGUUUUAAUAAUAAUAUUGUUAUAAUUGUUAUUUGUAAACUGUUAAUUUGUUGGUUGUUGGAAUUGGGCCUUGAGCCGGAUUGGAGGACGAGAUUACGCAUGUAGUUGGUUAUAAACUGUAUUUUUGUAAUUUUUGUGAAUUUGUAAAUGAGAUAUUUAAAUGUAUUCCAAUAAACUAUUGAAAUGUA